rnacentral:misc_RNA from 1 species
CUAUGCUUUCGCCAUCUCGACGAAAGCAUGUUGGGCCCUCCACGAGAUCACAGCCGAGUGUCCCCUGCACCCAUUAAACUGCACCUCGUCCGCCUCCCUCCUAGUCGAAGUCGCCGCUCUUUCUCUUCCUCUGUCGUGCCCGAAGCCGCGUUUUGUGUGUGUGUGUGUGCCCGUGCGUUGCUGCUCUGAGUCUCGCGGAAGAAGGGAACAGCGUAGGGAGAAAAGACCGAUUGUGGCUUGUGAAACCAACGAGCUUGUGUGCGCAACCUGCAGGUGAUGGUGCACGUAUCCGAUACACGCGGAUGUAUGUGUGAAGGUGCCUCUCUCUAUGCUUUGCUUCUCGAUACAUUGGAUGCUGCUCUCCUGAUGCCAGUCCUCUCCCCUGCCCCCCCCCCACUCUCUGCACCCUCGUUGAGGGAGAUGGCAUGCGAUGAUGGCCAGAUUCAACGUUACCCUGUCUCUCGAGCUCUGUGUGUGUUUGCAUGGCUGAGUCUGCUCUUGCAGUCCUGCACGGCACAGCACGUUCCGCAGCAGCAUUAAAGCGCUUGCUUCUCUUUCUCUGUGUUGCUUCCGCUUCUCCCCUUUCCCGAGCACCACUGACCCUCACCCUACCCCGCCUGGAUCGAUCUUGCGCGCGCACACACACACAUGUCUCUUCCUUCGCGUUCAACUCCCUCUGUGCGUGUAUGUAUUUCACUGCUAACCCCCCCCACACACACACACACCAAAAAAAAAGCAACAGUUAUGCGCAGGAAGAGUGCGGAAGGCAUGUACGGGACUUCUGAGUGAGUGCCUCUUGCUUUCAUCAUUGCCGAGAUGCAGUGCACGACAGCGUAGUCGGAGCCGUCAUCAAUGCCACUGAAUGGAAGGAUUCGAGUGAGAGGGAAAAAGGCUGAGAGCGGACGGCCGCGUUGAGGGAGAGGAAGGUAGGGAAGGAAGGUAGGACAAAUGCAUACAGCCGCAUACACACGCGCGCCAUAGUCAGCCCUUUCCCCUUGCACCGCACCCUUUCUCUCACACAGCCGCGGAGGUCGUGCGAUGCCUGGAAGGAUGAAGGAGCUCGUGGAUGGAACCAGUAAGCUCAUGUGUGCGCCCGCGUGUUUGUCUGUGUGUGUGUGUGUGCCUGCACCUCUCACCGCCUUUCCUCUUCCUUCCCCUCUCUCUCACAG